rnacentral:tRNA from 1 species
CGAAUCGUAGACGUACGACUAAAAAUCCGUCGACUUUAGAAAUCGUGAGGGUUCAAGUCCCUCUAUCCCCA